AACAAAGCAUUUUUCCUCAUAAGGUUUUGCUAGAAUGGCAUCAGAGAUAGGGUGUGAGAAAAGUCAAGACUGGGGAUCUGCUGGUUUUGGAGGUGUAUUUAAGGUGGAGUGGAUCCGAAAAGAAAGCAUUCCUUUUCAGUUUGCACACCAUUUGCUCAACCCUUGGAAUGACAAUAAGAAAGUACAAAUAAGCAGGGAUGGCCAGGAACUGGAACCACAAGUUGGAGAGCAGUUGCUACAGCUUUGGGACAGUAUUCCUUUGACAGGAAAAAACUCUACUGACUGAGCAUGUCAAGUAAUGUGAUAGAGCUGUCAUGGUUGAAACAUCAGAAAUAACUACUAGAACCAGUAGCAUGCCUGCAAUAUGAAGAUAAGAAAGAAGGUGGCGCAACAAGCUCCAGAAGUUGUUAGUCAUGCUGUGAGGCUAGUAGAGGAAAAAUAAGGGGAAUUAUGUUGGUUUCAGUAUUUCCUUGUCUUAACAAAUGUCCUGAUGUUAUUCACCAGCCUGGUUUUGACUGAAUUAGUUUUUUAUAGUAGCAUGCAAUUGAUAUUUAAAAACACGUUUAAAUUCCAAACUGAGUUUGAAACAGUGGACCACAUCCAAGUUGUUUGUGGGUUUAAAAUAGCACAGCAAAUAGUUUAAAUAUACAGUUUACAUUUAAAGGUUUCUCAACACAAUAAAAUCUAUGAGAAAAAAAACAGUGUAAUUUGAAUUAAUCAAUCUUGCCAUUUUCUUAAAUAAAUUGAGAAUACAUGUCUCCAAAUAUA